GAUGAAGAACGUAGCGAAAUGUGAUACUUGGUGUGAAUUGCAGAAUCCCGUGAACCAUCGAGUCUUUGAACGCAAGUUGCGCCCGAAGCCAUUAGGCCGAGGGCACGCCUGCCUGGGCGUCACACGUCGUUGCCCCCCCAUGUACUCCUUCGGGAUUGCGGGGGGCGGAUGAUGGCCUCCCGUGCGCCUCGUCGCGCGGUUGGCAUAAAUGCCAAGUCCUCGGCGACGCACGCCACGACAAUCGGUGGUUGCGAAACCUCGGUUGCCCGUCGUGUGCGGUCGUCGCGCAUCGAGGGCUCGAAAAAAUUGCCGGGCUCCGGCUCGGCUUUCAACGCGACCCCAGGUCAGGCGGGGUUACCCGCUGAAUUUAAGCAUAUCAAUAAGCGGAGGA
rnacentral:misc_RNA from 1 species